rnacentral:rRNA from 1 species
GACAGAGGAUGCAAGCGUUAUCCGGAAUGAUUGGGCGUAAAGCGUCUGUAGGUGGCUUUUUAAGUUCGCCGUCAAAUCCCAGGGCUCAACCCUGGACAGGCGGUGGAAACUACCAAGCUGGAGUACGGUAGGGGCAGAGGGAAUUUCCGGUGGAGCGGUGAAAUGCGUAGAUAUUCGGAAGAACACCAGUGGCGAAGGCGACUUACUGGACACAUACUGACGCUGAGGUGCGAAAGCGUGGGGAGCAAACAGG